GCCGCCGCGGUAAUACCGGCAGCACGAGUGAUGACCGCUAUUAUUGGGCCUAAAGCGUCCGUAGCUGGCCAGGCAAGUCCAUCGGGAAAUCCGCGUGCUUAACGCGCGGGCGUCCGGUAGAAACUGCUUGGCUUGGGACCGGAAGACCAGAGGGGUACGUCUGGGGUAGGAGUGAAAUCCUGUAAUCCUGGACGGACCACCGGUGGCGAAAGCGCCUCUGGAAGACGGAUCCGACGGUGAGGGACGAAAGCUCGGGUCACGAACCGGAUUAGAUACCCGGGUAGUCCGAGCUGUAAACGAUGUCUGCUAGGUGUGCCACAGGCUACGAGCCUGUGGUGUGCCGUAGGGAAGCCGUGAAGCAGACCGCCUGGAA
rnacentral:rRNA from 1 species